CCACGAUGCCACUUGCCACCAGUUUGCCCAUAUUUCAGAGCUGCAACAUCACUGGAGUGCCCAAAAGCACAAUGUGAGGACUAUUACUAUACUACUGCACAUCAGUGAGACUGUUUUUUUAUCUAUACUUUUAUCUAUUGGAUGCAUUGUUUAACACUCGGUCACUUUUAAUAGACAUAUGCACUUUGCUUAUUUGUAUUUAUCAGGCUAUACUUUGACUCUUUGCACUUGCACUUUGUUAUAUUUUGCGUAGGUUACGCACCCACUGUAUGUGUAUAAUGACACUAUUUGCUAUUUAU